AACGAACGCUGGCGGCAUGCCUAACACAUGCAAGUCGAACGAACCCUUCGGGGUUAGUGGCGCACGGGUGCGUAACGCGUGGGAAUCUGCCCUUUGCUUCGGAAUAACUCAGGGAAACUUGUGCUAAUACCGGAUGAUGUCUUCGGACCAAAGAUUUAUCGGCAAGGGAUGAGCCCGCGUAGGAUUAGGUAGUUGGUGGGGUAAAGGCCUACCAAGCCGACGAUCCUUAGCUGGUCUGAGAGGAUGAUCAGCCACACUGGGACUGAGACACGGCCCAGACUCCUACGGGAGGCAGCAGUGGGGAAUAUUGGACAAUGGGCGCAAGCCUGAUCCAGCAAUGCCGCGUGAGGGAUGAAGGCCCUCGGGUCGUAAAGCUCUUUUACCAGGGAUGAUAAUGACAGUACCUGGAGAAUAAGCUCCGGCUAACUCCG
rnacentral:rRNA from 1 species